CUUGAAAUUCCACAUCAUAACACUUGUCGUGGCACAUGGGGAUUGAGGAGGGCCAUUUCAUUUAAGUCGUUGGGUAAUUUGCAAACAGAGGUCUGGAAUUGGAAGUGCAAAACUACACUUGGAUCUCAAUGCACUAGUACUAGUUACAUUGCAGCAGAGCACAAUUCCACCAAUUAAGAAAGAACUGUCAACUUAAUUUCACGUCAUCUACAAACUCAGAACUAACAAAGUAGGAGAGACACAUCUAUCAUCCAGGACAAACACUAUGCCUCUAAAAUGACCGGCCACCACCGCAAGAGCAGAGUUCUCUCGUAGCUUACUCGUUUCACGCUGGCACGAGCACAGAGCACCGAGAGUAUCCCAGUCCCACAUCCCACAUCCAUCACAACCUGCACAACCCAACCAACAGCAAAAAUUCAGAACAGACUGUCAAAGCACACCUAAAUCAGUCCGAGUCAGGCGAAUCAGCCCGAGUCAGCAACUAAAUUCCACAUCAAGAAUUCAGUAAGCAAGUACAAAUGGAACUCCAUGAACUAGAAGGAAGGGGGCACUCACUCUUGAGGUUCUCGACCUGCUCGGCGGUGAGCUUCACGGAGAAGCCGCUGG
rnacentral:lncRNA from 1 species